GUGCUCAGCUGGCGUUGUCCUGCGAGUGUUCUUUCAGUGAUGUGUGACGGAUACCACGGUUUUUCUUUUAAGUCAUAUUCAGUGUAUGAAAGAGGCCCUUGUACAGACAUCAUCUCAGUGGACUCAUUUGCUGAGAACGAGACAUUCACUUUUGACACCGCCAGGGAAGUGUGUGCCACGUGUGCGAUUGCACGAGUGUGCAACUGAGCCCAGACGGAGAGGAAGCAGGAGGAACAAGACUAGGAUGCAUGAGGACUUUGGAAUUGGAGAGAGGUUCCAGUGAGGCCUAGAAAGGAUUCCCCCAGCGCUGUUCCUGUGCACGUGAAGUCCUACUCCUGCGCUCAGCACACAAACUUUGUUUUUCACAGCACUUGAAAAGAACUGAGCAGGUAGAAGGAGCGUGGACCCCAGUUCCUGCCAGACCAGAUUCCAAGGUCCCUGACAAGCCAGCCUCACAGGGAACAGGGGGAAAAAAGGGGGGUGGGGUGGGAAACAGACCCGGCUGCUUUUUGCUAGGAGUUAAAGCCCCAUAAAGCCCCAAACCCCUUUU